GCUGAAAAGAAGAAAGAAGAAUCACAUGUUCAACCUUUUCCAAAAACAAAUAAUGUUGAUGCAAACCAUGUGAUUUCAUCUAAAGGGGAAGAUCAAAAGAUCACUACUAUGAAUUCCUCUACGGGUGAAAAGGAAAGGAUUUCGAUUGAAAAGAGGAAUGGCGAUCCAAAUAUAAAAAAUCAGCUAAGAAUUGAAAAUGAAAAUGAAAGUCAUCCAAUCUAUUCUGAAGGGCAAAGCCAAAAGACCCAUUCUCUUCAAUCUCCUGUGCGUAAAAGUAAAAGGAUCUUGACUAAAAAGAAGAAUGGAUAUUCAAACAUUCCAACUUUACCACAAACAGAGAAUGAAGAAGAAAGCUUUGAAAUUUUGUCCGAAACAGAAAACCUAAAAAUCCUUUCUUCAAUACCAACUAUGGAAAAAA